rnacentral:SRP_RNA from 1 species
GCCAGGCGCGGUGGCGAGCGCCUGUAGUCCCAGCUACUCGGGAGGCUGAGGUGGGAAGAUCGCUUGAGUCCAGGAGUUCUGGGCUGUAGUGCGCUAUGCCCAUCGGGUGUCCGCACUAAGUUCGGCAUCAAUAUGGUGACCUCCCGGGAGCGGGGGGCCACCAGGUUGCCUAAGGAGGGGUGAACCGGCCCAGGUCGGAAAAACAGCUCAAUUGGCAUUGGCAUUUGUAACAAGAUGAAUAUGAUCUUAUGGGCAGUGCUGGCCUUGUAAGGAUUUUAACAUCUU